CAGGUUGGUAAUGUAGAAAGGAUACAUGUAUACUAUGCCCACGGACUAGAUAGCCCAACCUUUGUUCGCCGGUGUUAUUGGCUCCUAGAUAAGACCUUUGAACACAUUGUCCUUGUUCAUUACCGUGAAACACAAGAGUUUCAGAAUUUUCCAUCCACAUCGUUGAACUCAAAUUCUGGUUCUGUCUCUAACCCAUCAACUCCGUGGCUUUUAUCGGAGGAACUUGAUUCCAAGGCUACUCAUGUUUAUUCUCUUGGUGAA